rfam:Rhodotorula graminis WP1 unplaced genomic scaffold RHOBAscaffold_1, whole genome shotgun sequence.
GCUGUGGUAGUUCAAUGGCAGAAUGUUUGCCUUCCACCCUUUCGCGGCAGCAAACGGCCCGGGUUCGAUUCCCGGCCACAGCA